CGCUCAUUCUCAGCCUGAACUUGGUUGCCCCCCCCCCACCCCCCCACGUAGCUUCCUUCUUGCUGUUCUGGGCCUCCGUCCUAAGGGAGGCUUCUCCAGAACUGAACUCCCCGGACGUCCUGGAUCAGCUCCGGCGGCAGUUUCCCAGGUGACGGCCGCGCUCAGGGGCUGGAGGUCCCGCUGUGGCCCCCGGAGGGAGAGAGCGUCCCGUCCGCGCUCUCGGUGGCCCCGGAGCCCCUCGCCCCAAAGACAGAACGAGUAAUGGCAGGCGGGGAGCCGCCUUGGAGCCCGAAGCAAACGGAAAGCC
rnacentral:lncRNA from 1 species